rnacentral:rRNA from 1 species
GUGGGGAAUAUUGGACAAUGGGCGAAAGCCUGAUCCAGCCAUGCCGCGUGUGUGAAGAAGGUCUUCGGAUUGUAAAGCACUUUAAGUUGGGAGGAAGGGCAGUAAGUUAAUACCUUGCUGUUUUGACGUUACCGACAGAAUAAGCACCGGCUAACUUCGUGCCAGCAGCCGCGGUAAUACGAAGGGUGCAAGCGUUAAUCGGAAUUACUGGGCGUAAAGCGCGCGUAGGUGGUUUUGUAAGUUGGAGGUGAAAUCCCCGGGCUCAACCUGGGAACCGCCUCCAAAACUGCAUGACUAGAGUACGGUAGAGGGUAGUGGAAUUUCCUGUGUAGCGGUGAAAUGCGUAGAUAUAGGAAGGAACACCAGUGGCGAAGGCGACUACCUGGACUGAUACUGACACUGAGGUGCGAAAGCGUGGGGAGCAAACAGGAUUAGAAACCCUAGUAGUCC